rnacentral:rRNA from 1 species
ACGGAAGGCAGCAGUGAGGAAUAUUGGUCAAUGGGCGGAAGCCUGAACCAGCCAAGUCGCGUGAAGGAUGAAGGUAUUAUGUAUUGUAAACUUCUUUAGACGUAGAGAAAUAAGGCGCUCGUGAGCGCUGAUGCUAGUAUACGUAGAAUAAGGAUCGGCUAACUCCGUGCCAGCAGCCGCGGUAAUACGGAGGAUCCGAGCGUUAUCCGGAUUUAUUGGGUUUAAAGGGUGCGUAGGCGGGACGUUAAGUCAGUGGUAAAAGCGUGUGGCUCAACCAUACCAAGCCAUUGAAACUGUCGUUCUUGAGUGUAAACGAGGUAGGCGGAAUGUGACGUGUAGCGGUGAAAUGCUUAGAUAUGUCACAGAACCCCGAUUGCGAAGGCAGCUUACCAGCAUACAACUGACGCUGAGGCACGAAAGCGUGGGUAUCAAACAGGAUUAGAUACCCUGGUA